GAUGAACGCUGGCGGCGUGCCUAACACAUGCAAGUCGAGCGAACAGAUAAGGCGUUUGCCUGUUUGCCGUUAGCGGCGGACGGGUGAGUCAUACGUGGGUAACUUACCUUUAAGAAUGGCAUACCUUCGCGAGACCGAAUACAACAUCGGACCAUAUUUAGAACCGCAGGGUUCGUUGGUCCACGCUGGAUUUGCUAUCCCUAAUACAUGGUACCGAGCCGUAGUAGCAAGUUGGUACGGUAACGGCUUACCAAGGCGACGAUACGUAGCCGACCUGAGAGGAUGAUCAGCCACACUGGAACUGAGACACGGUCCAGACUCCUACGGGAGGCAGCAGUGGGGAAUAUUGCACAAUGGGCGAAAGCCUGACGGAGCAACGCCGCGUGUGUGAAGAAGGUCUUCGGAUUGUAAAGCUCUUUUAGUAGGGAAGAACAGACGUGUGAGUAUCUGUGCACGUCUUGACGGUACCUAAUCAGAAAGCCACGGCUAACUACGUG
rnacentral:rRNA from 1 species